GGUUACUGAUUUGCAUGCACAGACACCUCAGCCCCGUUUUGAUCCAACAAAACCCGUGGCCAUGGACGAUGUGAAGGCUAUCAUACAACUUUGCAGGGCUUGGAAAACUGACAUCAGUGCGGAGCUGGAGCUCGAACCAUUUGAAGUUGGGGCAGAUUUUUUUUUACAAACUGUUAGAUGAAACUGCAUGGAUGAGCUCGAGGCACCUUGACAUGGCCAUGUUUCUAAUACGCAAAAGACAACUCUCUCAUCCGCAACUAUUUGGAAGGGAGUGGACAACCGCCGAGUUUUGUCUGCAGCAAUUUUUACAGCCGUUUGCAAUGCCAAGUGGGAAACGAGUCACGAGGAAAC